UAAACUGGAGGAAGGUGGGGAUGACGUCAAGUCAUCAUGGCCCUUACGAGUAGGGCUACACACGUGCUACAAUGGCAUAUACAAAGAGAAGCGACCUCGCGAGAGCAAGCGGACCUCACAAAGUAUGUCGUAGUCCGGAUCGGAGUCUGCAACUCGACUCCGUGAAGUCGGAAUCGCUAGUAAUCGUAGAUCAGAAUGCUACGGUGAAUACGUUCCCGGGCCUUGUACACACCGCCCGUCACACCAUGGGAGUGGGUUGCAAAAGAAGUAGGUAGCUUAACCUUCGGGAGGGCGCUUACCACUGUGUGAUCAUGACUGGGGUGAAGUCGUAUCAAUAAACGA
rnacentral:rRNA from 1 species